UGGGGGAUAUUGCACAAUGGGCGAAAGCCUGAUGCAGCGACGCCGCGUGGGGGAUGAAGGCUUUCGGGUUGUAAACCUCUUCGCUAUCGAACAAGGCCCGCUUAGGGUGGGUUGAGGGUAGGUGGAGAAGAAGCGCCGGCUAACUACGUGCCAGCAGCCGCGGUAAUACGUAGGGCGCGAGCGUUGUCCGGAAUUAUUGGGCGUAAAGGGCUUGUAGGCGGCUUGUUGCGCCUGCUGUGAAAACGCGGGGCUUAACUUCGCGCGUGCAGUGGGUACGGGCAGGCUUGAGUGUGGUAGGGGUGACUGGAAUUCCAGGUGUAGCGGUGGAAUGCGCUGAUAUCUGGAGGAACACCGAUGGCGAAGGCAGGUCACUGGGCCAUUACUGACGCUGAGGAGCGAAAGCAUGGGUAGCGAACAGG
rnacentral:rRNA from 1 species